GAACGUCUCUUCUUCCAACUAGUGGCUGUCUUCUGAAGAUUCAAAGUUGCUCAGCUGGUGCGACUACGUGUAAAGUAAAAGUUCGUGGUACUCUUACGACAGAUCCGGCAACGAGAUUUACCAUUGUUACUGUUACGGCACAAGAUGGAACAGUAGGAAAGUGCAUUGAAUUCACCACAGCUAGCCAAGUUAAAUAUGCUUUGAAGGUCGACACUACGACUAAUAUAAUUUUUGAGAAACAGCACAAUGGCUGUGAUAACGGAAUCCCUGAUGACUUCAUUUUCAAAGAAGCGAGAAAAAUCCCUCGCCAUUUCACAUAUACACACAAUGCGAAGUGUCUUGGUACAAACAUUGAUGGCGCCUUGUCC